rnacentral:lncRNA from 1 species
AUGCUCCGGGUGUGCCCUGAGGUUCCUUCCUCUUCCUCAUCCUCUCCCCACACACCCCCUCACCCCGCCUCCCUUUCCCUUUCCUGCGCAUUCGCUCAGAACAGGUUUGCACAAGAGGAAGUCACCUGCCAGGGCUUGGAAGGUCUUGAGGUUUGUGCGAGCAGAAGCAAAGAGAUGAGAACAAAAAGAAACGCUGAGCAACUGAAAAGUGGGACAGAGGCAACGAGAAAUAAGCGAACAGAGACAGGAAGAAAAAUACAGAAACAGAGCCAGACUAGCAUGAAAGAGACAGACUAGAAUGAGACAGAUCCAGUCUCCUUCGGUGAGGUUCACUUUACAAGCGACUAACCUCCCCCAAAAUUCCUCCUCGAUGGAAUCGUCCAGAGUCCUCCUAACCACAAAGUCCUUGGGCUAGAACGACCGGAAGCUUACAAGAACGCGGGCGUAAAACUUCCCUCUUGGUCUUCCCGUUCCCACAAUUUCACUCCAUUUCCGGUAACCGCCGGUUGUUGGUGCUGCCCAAGACCUCCGUGGGGGGUGGAGUGGCAACGGCGCUCGCGAAGUUCGAAGACGCUUCGACGGAUGGCCUAGAGCGUCGCCCUUUCUAUUUCCCUCCCCUCCCCCCCAACUGGUGUCUUCCAUUCCGGGGGGGAGGGGGAUAUCCAACCAACGCUACGGCCCUGGCCUUCUUAAGUACCAUAGAGACCCGGACUUUCUGUGCCCGCCCCCUUUUCCGUCUCCGGCACCUUACGGGAGCGCCGCUUUCUAGCUCACUUCCUGUUGGCUGAGGAGGCGAGAGCAAGAGAAGAGAGGAAAGGGAGGGGGCGGGGCAGCCCAAGACAUUAGGAGCCAAGGAGGCCCGGGUGGAAGGAAAUGGGCGUGAGAAGAGGCCGGAAGUAAAGCAAAGGAUACAGGAAGUGAAGGGGAGGAGCUAGAGGCGAGGGGAGGGAGCCAUAUGAGGAGGGGGAAGGGGGAGUUAGGUAGGAUUUGCAUUCAGAACCCGGACAGGGCAAGCAGUCCGGAGGGCCCGAAAUAGUACCGUUUCUCCCUUCAGCAGCGUGGGGCAGGGGGUGGGUGGGAAGAGCUAUUUAUCAAUUAGGCUUUUAAAUUAGAGCUCCUCUCUUCUUGGGGCUAGAAACUGUGUGUGUGAGUUUGUAUGUGUGUGUGUGUGUACGCGCGUGUGCGCCAGUGUGUGGGGGGGGCAGGCCACCUCUGUGGCCCCCGUUGGGAGUGGGGAAGAGAAAGGGAGGCUGGUUGUAGAAUCCAAAAGGAAGACCCUCCCUCUUGCCGGCCUCCCCUUUGUAACC